rfam:Capsicum annuum cultivar Zunla-1 chromosome 12, whole genome shotgun sequence
UGAUGAUGGUGAGGGCAAUUUUUGAGCAUACCCUUAAAUCUCUCCCAAGCUAGGUAGAGAUUCUCUCCUUUUUUUUGUAUAAAAGUCAAAAUAUCGCUUCUCAAAUG